GGUUCUAUGGAGUAGUGGUCAACUCUAGCGGUUCUGAUCCGCUUGCCCCCGGUUCGAAUCCGGGUAGGACCU
rnacentral:tRNA from 1 species